UACGUAGGGUGCGAGCGUUGUCCGGAAUUAUUGGGCGUAAAGAGCUUGUAGGCGGUUUGUCGCGUCUGCCGUGAAAAUCCGGGGCUCAACCUCGGACUUGCGGUGGGUACGGGCAGACUAGAGUGUGGUAGGGGAGACUGGAAUUCCUGGUGUAGCGGUGAAAUGCGCAGAUAUCAGGAGGAACACCGAUGGCGAAAGCAGGUCUCUGGGCCACUACUGACGCUGAGAAACGAAAGCCAGGGGAGCGAACGGG
rnacentral:rRNA from 1 species